AUACUGCAAAAAGUACACACAGGUACUGCAGAUAGUACACACAGAUACUACAGAGUACACAGCAGUGAGUACUGUCCUGAAAAGAAAGAGAGAAGGAGUCACAGUAGCACUAAUCAGGAGGUCUAGAAGGAGUCAUAGUUCCACUAAUCAGGAGGUCUAGAAGGAGUCAUAGUUCCACUAAUCAGGAGGUCUAGAAGGAGUCAUAGUUCCACUAAUCAGGAGGUCUAGAAGGAGUCAUAGUUCCACUAAUCAGGAGGUCUAGAAGGAGUCAUAGUUCCACUAAUCAGAGGUUCUAGAACAUCUCAGAUGGAGUCCAGAUGUUUGCUGUGAAUCUGACCAGAACUACCACAUUGGAUGAUUGAUCCUGACAGUGAUGAGUGUAAUAUUACUCUAUUUAUUCAUCCUUCAGUCUUGGAUAUGUUGUAUAUAUUUCUGUUGUUGUAAUUGUUAUAUUUACUGUAUAUUGCUGCUGUAACAGGAAAUUUCCCCUGGCAUGGGGAGUAAUAAAGGUUUACCUUAUCUUUUAUGACA